GUCCAUUUGCUUUUCCAAAAAUGGCCAAAUCAUGACACUGUUGACAGCCCAGCUAGGAAGCGUCUGAUGAAAUUUUUGGCCCUGGAAACGCCAGGUGUUGAUGGCUCCAGAUUUUGUCAGCGCUUCUGAAUACUAAAAGGGCUCUGUGUGUGCCUGGAGGGGCAGAGGGUGUGCACAAUGGAGCAGAGGAGAAGGCAAAGAUGCCUGCAAUGUCAGACACACUAACAGAGGACCUACCUCCUUUAACUUUUCUAAUAGUUGUGACUUCUCUUCAUGGAGCCAGACAGAGAACCAUGGGAGAAGAGCAAACGAAGGCAGACGGGAAAGAAGGACAGCUCCCUAAGCCUUCGGGGAGAAAAAUGAACAGAG
rnacentral:lncRNA from 1 species